rnacentral:rRNA from 1 species
UACGUAGGUGGCAAGCGUUGUCCGGAUUUACUGGGCGUAAAGGGCGUGCAGGCGGUUUGUUAAGUGCAGGGUGAAAGCUCCCGGCUCAGCUGGGAGAGGUCCUUGCAUACUGGCAGACUUGAGGGAGGCAGAGGAAAGUGGAAUUCCCGGUGUAGUGGUGAUAUGCGUAGAUAUCGGGAGGAACACCUGUGGCGAAGGCGGCUUUCUGGGCCUUACCUGACGCUGAGACGCGAAAGCGUGGGGAGCGAACCGG